ACGAAGACUCCUUCUGCUCCCCUCACUUCUCCUCUCCGACAUCGCCCAUGCUGGAUGAAUCAGUCAUCAUCCAGCUGGUGGAGAUGGGCUUCCCUAUGGACGCCUGCCGCAAAGCUGUCUACUACACGGGCAACAGUGGGGCCGAGGCCGCCAUGAACUGGGUCAUGUCACACAUGGAUGAUCCAGGUAGGCUGGGGUGGGGAGCAGAGUGGGGCAGGGCUCCAUCCUCCCCCAAACACAUCAACCCCUUCACAUCCACAGAUUUUGCAAACCCCCUCAUCCUGCCUGGCUCUAGUGGGCCAGGCUCCACAAGCGCGGCAGCCGACCCCCCUCCCGAGGACUGCGUGACCACCAUUGUCUCCAUGGGCUUCUCCCGGGACCAGGCCCUGAAAGCGCUGCGGGCCACGAACAAUAGUUUAGAACGGGCUGUGGACUGGAUCUUCAGUCACAUUGACGACCUGGAUGCUGAAGCUGCCAUGGACAUCUCAGAGGGCCGCUCAGCUGCCGACUCCAUCUCUGAGUCUGUGCCAGUGGGACCUAAAGUCCGGGAUGGUCCUGGAAAGUAUCAGCUCUUUGCCUUCAUUAGUCACAUGGGCACCUCUACCAUGUGUGGUCACUAUGUCUGCCACAUCAAGAAGGAAGGCAGAUGGGUGAUCUACAAUGACCAGAAAGUGUGUGCCUCCGAGAAGCCGCCCAAGGACCUGGGCUACAUCUACUUCUACCAGAGAGUGGCCAGCUAAGAGCCCGCCUCACCCCUUACCAAUGAG
rnacentral:sRNA from 1 species